UACGGGGGGGGCAAGCGUUGUUCGGAAUUACUGGGCGUAAAGGGCUCGUAGGCGGCCAACUAAGUCGGAUGUGAAAUCCCCAGGCUUAACCUGGGAACUGCAUCCGAUACUGGAUGGCUUGAAUCCGGGAGAGGGAUGCAGAAUUCCAGGUGUAGCGGUGAAAUGCGUAGAUAUCUGGAGGAAUACCGGUGGCGAAGGCGGCAUCCUGGACCGGCAUUGACGCUCAUGCACGAAAGCGUGGGGAGCAAACAGG
rnacentral:rRNA from 1 species